UACGACCAUAUCACGUUGAAACACCGGUUCUCAUACCAUCACCGAAGUUAAGCAAUGUCGAGCCUGGUUAGUACCUAGACGGGUGACCAUUUGAGAAUAAUACCAGGUACUGUAA